CUCGCAUGAAGUCGGAAUUGCUAGUAAUCGCGGAUCAGCAUGCCGCGGUGAAUACGUUCUCGGGCCUUGUACACACCGCCCGUCACACCAUGGGAGUCGGUAACACCCGAAGUCUGUAGCCUGACGCAAGAGGGCGCAGCCGAAGGUGGGAUUGAUGACUGGGGGUGAAGUCGUAACAAGGUAGC
rnacentral:rRNA from 1 species